rnacentral:misc_RNA from 1 species
GGGGGAAGAGUGAACUGAAUGGUUCGGCUCUCAAAGGGCUCAUGGAAAAGACAGAUUUUAGCAUGGCUGAUAUUUUGAGGAAGUAUAUCCGUUAUGCACUCAAUGAGAAACCCUUUAAUCCUGAUCUGGUCGUAGAUCUCAUACAUCUGAGAAAAGCUUCGGAACUGGAAGACCCACAAGUUGCUGAGGUUUUGAAUGAGAUUGCAAGACGGA